UGAGGAAUAUUGCGCAAUGGGGGAAACCCUGACGCAGCAACGCCGCGUGGAGGACGAAGGUUUUCGGAUUGUAAACUCCUUAACUGGGGGAAGAGGAAGGACGGUACCCCAGGACGAAGACACGGCUAACUACGUGCCAGCAGCCGCGGUAACACGUAGGUGUCGAGCGUUAUCCGGAAUUACUGGGCGUAAAGGGUGCGCAGGCGGCGGUGCAAGUCUGGCGUGAAAGCUCCUGGCUUAACUGGGAGAGGACGUUGGAAACUGCAUGGCUAGAGUGAAUGAGAGGGGGGCGGAAAUCCCGGUGUAGUGGUGGAAUGCGUAGAGAUCGGGAAGAACACCAGAGGCGAAGGCGGCCCCCUGGCAUUUGACUGACGCUGAGGCACGAAAGCGUGGGUAGCGAACGGG
rnacentral:rRNA from 2 species